AGGUUUAGAAAAUUGAGAGUAAAGGAUUUAUUCGCUUCGAGAGGAGCUUGCGUCCCAUCAGCUAGUUGGUAGGGUAAUAGCCUACCAGGGCAAUGACGGGUAGGGGACCUGAGAGGGUGGCCCCCCACAAUGGAACUGAAACACGGUCCAUACACCUACGGGUGGCAGCAGUAGGGAAUAUUAGAAAUGGGCGAAAGCCUGAUCUAGCAACACCGCGUGUGCGAUGAAGGCCUUCGGGUUGUAAAGCACUUUUUGGAGGGAAUAGGAAGGAAGGUACCUCCAGAAUAAGUCUCGGCUAACUACGUGCCAGCAGCCGCGGUAACACGUAGGAGGCAAACGUUAUCCGGAUUCACUGGGCGUAAAGCGCGUGUAGGUGGUUCUGUAAGUAGGGCGUGAAAGCUCCCGGCUCAACUGGGAGAGGCCGUACUAAACUGCAGAGCUAGAGGAUGGUAGAGGGAGGUGGAAUUCCAGGUGUAGUGGUGAAAUGCGCAGAUAUCUGGAGGAACACCAGUGGCGAAGGCGGCCUCCUGGACCAUUCCUGACACUCAGCCGCGAAAGCUAGGGUAGCAAACGGAAUUAGAGACUCCGGUAGUCCUAGCCCUAAACGAUGCAGAGUAGGCGUCGGCGGUUUAAUCACCGUCGGUGUCCAAGCUAACGCGAUAAGUCUGCCGCCUGAGGAGUACGGCCGCAAGGCUAAAACUCAAAGGAAUUGACGGGUCCCCGCACAAGCAGCGGAGCGUGUGGUUUAAUUCGAUGCUCCGCGAAGAACCUUACCUGGGUUUGACAUAACAGUGGUAGAGAAGUGAAAACGGAUCGACCCUUCGGGGAGCUGUUACAGGUGUUGCAUGCCUGUCGUCAGCUCGUGUCGUGAGAUGUUCGGUUAAGUCCGCUAACGAGCGCAACCCGCGCUGUGUGUUACAAGUGUCACACAGUACCGCCGGUAUUAAGUCGGAGGAAGGUGCGGAUGACGUCAAGUCAGCAUGACCUUUAUAUCCAGGGCUACACACACGCUACAAUGGUCAGAACAAUAGGUUGCCAAGCCGCAAGGCGGAGCCAAUCCUCCAAAUCUGGCCUCAGUUCAGAUUGCAGGCUGCAACUCGCCUGCAUGAAGUCGGAGUUGCUAGUAACCGCAGGUCAGC
rnacentral:rRNA from 1 species